GUUACGUGCCCCUUGUCCACAAAAUAUUACCAAAAGUGGAAGUGGCCAACAAGCGCGCUAUAUUUAUCUGCUUCUUUAUUGGACAACUCACUGACGACGUAACCCCGCUAAACUCGAACAUGAACAAAACCUCCGCUGCAUAUUUUAGCACCUUGACCAGAGAUUCAACCAGGCAUGGUAAUUGAACUGUAUUCUGCUUGUUUCUUUUGAAAGGCUACAUUUAACAGGUGACUUCUCUAUAGUGCGAAAUGGAUUAUCAACGCCAUAAUACCUCAUGUCCUUUGAGAAUACUUUGCCUUUUUAAUCUGGUAUCCUCUGUAUUGUUGUCCAACUGUCCUCAUAUCUGUGACCCAGGCUUCAUUAUUAACAAGUGUAAGUGUGUCCCUUGUCUCGAUGGCCACUACUGGUACACGCAGAACGGCCUUCCGAAGUGUGACCCCUGCAGCAAAGCCUGCUCAGUUGAUCAGCACUUGACACAGGUGAAGGAAUGCAGCCGGGACUCAAACCGUGAGUGCCACUGUGACAGCGGCUUUUUCUGUGACAUCGCUGCCCAGUAUACCUGCAGGAGGUGUAAGCCGUGCUCUCCCGGAACCUUCUCCAACAAACCAAACCUAACCAUGUCCUGCAAACCCCACACAGAUUGUGGCCAUAAGGGAAUGAUCAUGGUGACAGAGGGCACUGCCUCUCAGGAUCGUGUAUGUGCCCAGACCUCCCCUAACUCUCCUACAACCACUGCACCUCCAACUGUCCACAGCUCAGAGAUAGGCUUUCAUUCUUCUACCUCCAGUGGAGUCAGCACCACCCGAAAACCCCCCAUCAUAGCAUUCCCAUCUAGACUGGUGGGGUCUACAUCUCCUGAUGCCUUUCCCAAAGCCAUAAUUUACACAUCUGCAGACCCUUUACCAGCCUUACUCACCAGGCCUUCUUUGUCCCAAGCCCAGAGCGAGCCCUCUACCUCCCUCCCAACUAGGAAACAAGUCACUGAACACAGCUCCUUUGACCCCAACACAAAGCUUACCACCAGGAGAAACCCCAGCAAGGUGGACAGUAACACCUCACCUGCAGAGUCUGCCUCUACACCUCCUCUUACCACAGAAGACAACGCAACAGAUACUGGACCGAGCCCUCCCACUCUCCCUUGGCUGCUGCUGAUAGGUGGGCUACUAGGGGUUGUCGUGCUGCUGGUUGGUUACUUUGUCCGUUGUAGGGAGAGGUCACUGAAGUCCAUGGACAAGUGGAAAGGUCCAGUAUUUGGUAAAAAUACGGAUUCCUAUAUACAGGCCCAGCCACCACAGGAGAGUUGCCCACACCUGGAGGCCCAGCAUCUUCUGGGGAGGGAGACUGGGGGAAAUCCUAGACAGGAUGGUGCAGGGUUGCUACCUCCAGGGGUCAUGAAGCAGCUCACAGUGGACCACUCUGGAGGAGAGAACAUUAGCAACACAGUGGGGUCCAUUUACAUCUACUCUCCGGGGACGGUUGUCCUGGGAUACAACAAGUCGGAGAGGAAGGUGGAUCAAGUGGAGAGUGGAGUAGAGGGCUGUCCCCUCACCAGAACACCCCAGCAGGAGUCCUCCUGCCCCCUCCCUGAGGGCCCUGCUCUGGGGCCAGAGAGAAUGAGUACACAGGAGGAGACCUGCAAAGAGCUGAGAUACCCCAUCCCGGCCACCAGCAACUGGGAACUAGAAAAAAAAUGAAAUUGAGGAUUAACUAUGGAAAAAGCCUGAGGAGGAGCAACUUCAUUCAAUAUCAAAUAUCAUCUCUAGGGCAAGAAUGCAGACAGAAUAUUAUUUGCUACUGUAAAGACUGUUAGACUGGAUGGCUUCCUUCUGUACAAGGAUUGCAAAAGCCACUGGGGUCCCUCAGGGGUCUUCUAUUAUGAAUGAGUGACAGUUUGUUCCAACUGUAUGUAAUAGUCUUAGCACGGUUUCAAAUUCACUGUAAGUCACUGUUGUGACAGCAGUGCUGGGACAGUAUUUGAGAGCAAUGCAUGGUCUGUUUGAUAUGGGGUGUCGACACUGUGAGUCGGAGUUUCCCAUAAUUGGGUACAUGUACACAAUGGCGCCAGAUCGUGUGAGAGUCUAAGUGUAUCAACCACAGAAACAGUGAAGACAAGAAAUUCAUAUGAGGUGUGAAGUAACCUAUGUAACCAUGAUACAAGUAGGGUUUGGGGUGUGAAGAGCUUACAAUUUCCAUUGUAAAGUAAUACAGUAAUACCAUGUUCACGGGUUACAACCUUUGUUCUGUGAAUCUAUGAUCAAGACAUUGCUAUGUACAGUAGCCUACAGGACGAAGACAGAAGAAAGAUGACUUUAUAACAGACAAUAGCAAUCUGUUCCAGUCUAUUCCUUGACAGAAAUGUACACAAAUGAACAAACUAUUUCAAGUCACCUCUUUAUGGUGAAACCACUUAUGUAGUUGACUAUGACUAUGUGCAGCCAAUCACUGUCUGUUAAUCAUGCAAAUGUAAUAUUUUGUCUGUUUGACAAAUGCAUGUGACGUAGGCUAUGCCAUAGCAUGAGCUGUUUUUUUUAUCCUUCAGAAAUUGUAGAACUGUUUCAAGCAAGUGUUUACCGACAAAAUACAAUUUACGAUGAUUUCUGUAUUAGUAUGGAGGAAUGAAAAAUGGUCUCUCUUUUAUAUAGUAGUAGUGCUGAAAAUGUUGACUCAACAUUUUGUGAUUAACAUACCAAAUUUGGCACAGAUGUAGAUGUACAGUGCCUUUGAAAAGUAUUCAGACCCCUUGAUUUUUUCCCACUUUUUGUUACGUUACAGCCUCACUCUAAAACAGAUGAUCUAAAAAAAAAUCCUCAGCACUCUACACACAAUACCCCAUAAUGACAAAGCGAAAACAGGUUUUUAGACAUUUUUGCAAAUGUAGGGGUUAUUCGGCUGUCCGCAUAGGAGAACCCUUUUUGGUUCCAUGUAGAACCCUUUACCCUCGACAUGGAACCUGGAACCAAAAAGGUGUUUUACCUGGAACCAAAAAGGUGUUUUACCUGGAUCCAAAAAGGGUUCUUCAAAGGGUUCUCCUAUGGGGACAGCCAAAGAACCCCUAUAAAUGUGUUAAAACAUUUUUUAUAUUUGUAUAGUGUUGUGUUACAAAGGGUUAAUGAAAGAAAGUGUUACUGCUUGACACUGCCUCUUUGCAAUCAUUACCGGUUUGGGUACAGUACGUGGACGACUUGAGGAAAUUGACUGAAAGGUUACUGCAGUGCAAAGACGCCCUCAGUUUCCUUAGCUGGUCAGCAGUUCAAGGAAACGCGCGCUUUUGUUUCAGGUUGUAAUUCGAGUGUUUUUCUGUAGGCUACCUAUACGGUUUCAGUAUGGACUUUUUCGCAAGAUCUUAAAGGGUCAAUAAUAGUUCAAUCAAUCAUGAUACUAAGGACCGUAAGUGGCGUUCUUACAGUGAGGAUUUUUCUAGCAAUCAUGGUGCAGCCUGUUGAGAACAUGGUGCACUUCAUGGUCCCCUCGUCCCUACAGGUGUACACUCUGCCAUACGCACCAGACUCUGACGGAUCCUGCCACAACAAAACAGCUGAAUACUAUAACGCAGAGGUAAACCUCUGCUGCAGCAAGUGUACUUCUGGGACACGCCGGAAAGAUCUAUGCAGCUCUACCUCAGACACGGCGUGUGAACCAUGUCCUAGAGGCCAGUACAGUGGGACCUUUAAUUACUUCGCAAAAUGCUUCAGAUGUCCCAAGUGUUCAGCAGACAAAGGCCUGAAGUAUGUCCAGAAGUGCUCCAGCACCACCAAGACUCAGUGUGCGUGCCAGACUGGGAUGUACUGCGUACUGAACCAACACCCGGACUGUGAGGAGUGUGCAAAUUUGACAUACUGCAAGCCUGGUUAUGGGGUCUCUGUAGAAGGUACCAUAGCUGGACAGGAGGCUGGGACAGCAGAGUCGGAUGUGGAAUGUGCAUCAUGCCCCGAUGGAACCUUCUCUGACCAGUACUCCUACACCCAGAUCUGCCAGCACCACACAGAUUGUCUGUCUCAGGGGAGGGACGUACUGACUUACGGUACAGCCACCACCGAUGCGGUGUGUGGACCGAAGGUAAACGGACGACUGGUCUCCAUCCUCCAAACCACCACACCUCCAAGCCCACCGACCACAAUGCCACCCUCUGGUAAAGGGCAUACCACAUCAAGUCUACAGAGCAUGGAUACGUCUACAGUUCCAACCACCCGAGGCUCAAAGCUGACAUCUAGUCCCUCUGAUCCACGGGUCAUCGCUCCAACGGAAGAAAAAUCACCAGGCAUUAACCUCUGGAUAGUUGCAGGUGCUAUCGGAGGUGCUAUGUUCCUGCUGCUGAUCGUAGGCACUGUCAUUUACAAGAAAGCCUUCACAAACUUCAUACGUGUAUCUUCUACAGAAGAUAUAAAUGGAAAUUCUGAGAAGGAGGCCAUUAAAUGUCUGCUGGGGAAAGGAGACUGCAGUAAUGUCGGUCAGGCAGAGACCCAGCAGGAUGCUAUUAAGACCUGGUCAGGCUCAGGGUGCUCCAACAGCCUGGAUGGCUUGUCAAUAAGCCCCGUCCAGUCCACCAUUCCACAGCCCAGCAUCCUGGCCAGCACCCCCCCAGCCCAGCCCCCAAUCCACCAGCCCCCUGGCAUCUGUACCCCUAGUUAAUGUCAACAUCACUGUUACCUACCCUGUGAACAUAGGAAAUGAGUUAUGCUCCAGACCUACCAGCACCCAGAUAGACUCACCACAAGCUGACCCCGAGGCCCCUUUAUCAAGGGAGGAGGAGGUGUAUGUGAACAUGCCACAGCGAGAGGGUUGCAAAGAGGCACUUACGGCAGUACAGGAGUUUGGAAAUGAUGUAUGAGGACUGGAGGCAUAUAGGGGAGGGUUAGACAAUAGAUUGUGUUUUAGUGAUGCUUUUUUUUACUGUAACUGUUGUCUCUGUUGUUAUGUGGUUGCUACUUGAAGUACUGGUGGUGACUUUGUGUUGGUAGAGAGAGACCGAAUGACUGUUCAUGUGCCUCAGGUAGGAUUUCCCAAACUUUGCACGUUUUGCAUAAGUUAUACCCAGGGAGGGUCCCAGGACCGAGUUUUGGAAACCCUGAUAUAACGUGCUGUCUGUGCUGGAAAGUCUUGAACACCUGAUUUAGAUUGUCAGCGACUGUUUGAAGGAUUAUUGAUAAGUGAAUUAUGUGGUGCAUGUGAAUGUUGUUGUAAGGAUACUGUAAAUGUUACACGGCUCAAGGUAUCCCAAAAUCUUUUAUCAUAAGUAGGCAAUAUGGGUUUAUUUUCUCUUGUGUUUGUGGGUGGUUGUUCCAUGUAUAGUCAUUGUACUGUUCAGGACUGGUUUUCGUCGUUCUUUUGUUCAGUGUUCUUUUCUUUAAUAAAUCAAGAAGAUGAUUCACAUCCCCGCUGCAGUUUGGUCCGAUCAUUAUGAUGCUUAUGACACUGCGCCACAUGAGAUUUCAUUUGUGUUCUUAUGAGAGAAGAGCAUGCCUAUACUUUCC
rnacentral:lncRNA from 1 species